AGAGGACCGAAGGGUAUCGGAUGCCCCCACCUGCUCAUUGGCUUUGCCCUGCCUUGCGGCCUCUGUAUUCUGCCUUGCCCUUUGAUGAAGUCACAAACCAGAGGGAGGAGGCCAGGCCUGCAGGGGCUGCUUCGGAGGGCUGGCCACGCGGGCAGCUGCAACCUGGGCACGUACGUCUGUGUGGCGGGGGGCUUCUGCACUGGGGGCUCGGCACCGACCCAGGAAGGGGAGCUGUGAGCAGGGACAUCUGGCCCUAGUCUCAGAGCAACAUCCCUCGAAAUGCCAUCUGGCCCCAGAAGGUGCGAGGGAGGCAGGCUGAGUCUGCUCAUGCUACCGCGGGCCGCCCAGGAAGGAAGCAGGCUGCCCGCCAGGCUGGCACGCGCCUCUUGCAGUGGAGGGUUUGCUCUUCAGGAACGGACAGAGACCCUCCAGGCUCCCUCGGCCGCACGCUGGGGGUGAGCCCAGGCAGCCACAGGAGUCCUCCAAGCCAGAUGAGCCCGCCCUGCGGCACUGCCAGCACUUGGGACGCCAGACUCCCUUCAGGCGACGGGCCCCAAGGGCGCUGCGACAGCUCAGCACCCACCACGGAUCAGCAACAGGACAACCCGAGCGCGGAGACACAGACGGGAAGCACACCACUGAUGUGAAGACGCAGGAGACAGGACGACCCCCCGUGAAGGGUCCUGUCCACCCACCACUGAGGCCUGGCCCGACUUUCUACAAGACCCUGCUGGGGGGGAAGUGCCCCUCGGAGUAAAGGAAAUACAGCCCCACUCCUGGGAAGACAGCACUCGUUUCCAUCAGAGGCCACGCCCCCCACUCACACGCCAGGAGAAAGCCACACCUGCAGAAGCCUGCUCCCCACCCAAUGCCAGGCACCCCGACAUGGCUCCCCAUUCCCUGGAACCACAGGCUCAGGCCCUGGUUCAGCCCAGUCCCCAGCAGGCUGUUGGACUCCUAGUAACCCCGGAGCUGGGUCAGGGAAGGAAGGUGCUGGGCCAGGCCUCCUGCACCCCUCAACAGUCCCCAUUUCACAGACAGGCAGGCUGAGGGCCCCAAGGAGGGGGCCCAAAGUCACCCCAUGAGCAAGCACCAUGUGGUUCAGGUGAGCUCAGAGACCUCAGGGUGCCACCUCUCCUGCCCACAUGCCCACGGCCCCCCAGCACAGGCCCCCUGGGCCAGGACUCACCUGCAGCCAGGCGGGGGUUGGGGAUGUGGGCGAUCCUCCUCUUCUCGCCAGGGGCGGAAAUGUGGACGGAGGGCGACUUCUCCGCCAGCCUGGCGGGGGCCUGCAGCAAGCUCGCCGAUGCCCUCUGCGCCUGCUGGGCCCGCAGGUAGCACACCUCCUGCGCCGUUGGGGGCCGGGCCGGGGGCACCGCGGGACUCCUCCUCGGGGGCUCCACCUGCGUCACCACAAAUGCUAAGGCCUGGCAGCACAGCGGGGGCACCUGGAGCAGGCGGCCCCGGGCAGGCUUGGGAGAGGGUGGCUGGAGCUCGGGGGCCGGAGGCACCACCUCCCUGGCUGCCUUCUGAGCUGCUGGGCACACCAGGGGGAAGCAGCACGGGGCAGUGGUCCUCAAUGCCAUGUGGCUCCAGGCUCCCCCACUCCCAGUGUCUCCCGGUGCCCAGGCUGUGUCCUCAGCCCUGAUAAGGCACGGGUGGGCGGGACUACCCCGAUUACACUGGCACUCCAAUCCAAUCCCACUACGCCUAAUCUUCCUCAAAGCCCCUCCUCUGGGGAGGCUCUGGGACUGGAGCAACUGGGACUCUCCUGGCUGCUGACCCCGGAGCCAGGCUCUCUGCUUUUCCCGCACUACCUCGCCACGUCUGCACAGGGGCCUGACAAGUGCUACUGUCUCCGGGCUACAGAGGACACUGGAGCUCAGAGCUGGACAACCGGCCCAGGCCACACACGGCGCAGCAGGCAGUCUGCCGCACUCUGGGGGAGGUCACCCUGGGGCUGCUGAGCUGCUCUGUCCCCCGCCCCAGCAGCGUGGCAAUCUAACAGGAAGGGGCAGGGCCAGCUCCCUCUGGAACUCGGGCAGCGUCAAAGAUAAGGUGUCUUCAAAAAGCUCAUGGAAAACGUGCGUUGUGACGAAACUUGCAUGGCUUUCAAGUUUUUUUGCCCCAAAAUAAACUGAUACUAACUUGUCAUAA